rnacentral:rRNA from 1 species
AUCAAAAACAUAGCUAAAUGUGACUACAUUUAGUUACGUCUGCUCAAUGAUUAUUUUAAAUAGCCGCAGUACCUUGACUGUGCUAAGGUAGCAUAAUCAUUUGGCUUAUAAUUGGAGUCUGGCAUGAAAGAAUUUAUGGGUAACAACUGUCUCCUAUACCUAUACUGAAAUUACUAAAUAAGUGAAAAUACUUAUAUAAACACAAUAGACGAGAAGACCCUAGAAAUUUUUUAGAAUAAGUUCUUUAAACUUUAAUAUUUUGUUGGGGCGACAGAAUAACAAAUAACUUAUUUUAUGAGUUAGAAUUAUAUUGUAUGAUAAAAUAAAUUACUCUAGGGAUAACAGCAUAAUGUAUUAAAGUUUGUGACCUCGAUGUUGGAUUAGGACCCUUAACAACCAGAAGUUUUUAAGUUAAGCUCUGUUCGAGCUAUGUUUCCUACAUGAUCUGAGU